rnacentral:rRNA from 1 species
UACAGAGGGUGCUAGCGUUGUUCGGAAUCAUUGGGCGUAAAGGGCGUGUAGGCGGUUUGUUAAGUCAUGUGUGAAAUCCCUCGGCUCAACCGGGGAACGACGCAUGAAACUGGCAAGCUAGAGUACCAAAGAGGGGGGUGGAAUUCCCGGUGUAGCGGGUGAAAUGCGUAGAUAUCGGGAGGAACACCUGUGGCGAAGGCGGCCCCCUGGUUGGAUACUGACGCUGAUACGCGAAAGCGUGGGAGCAACA